UACGUAGGGGGCAAGCGUUGUCCGGAUUUAUUGGGCGUAAAGAGCGUGUAGGCGGCCUGAGGUCAGCUGUGAAAACUCGAGGCUCAACCUCGAGACGUCGGUUGAAACCACUUGGCUAGAGUCCGGAAGAGGAGAGUGGAAUUCCCGGUGUAGCGGUGAAAUGCGCAGAUAUCGGGAAGAACACCCGUGGCGAAGGCGGCUCUCUGGGACGGUACUGACGCUGAGACGCGAAAGCGUGGGGAGCGAACAGG
rnacentral:rRNA from 1 species